rnacentral:rRNA from 1 species
AGAGUUUGAUCCUGGCUCAGGAUGAACGCUAGCUACAGGCUUAACACAUGCAAGUCGAGGGGCAGCAUUAUCGAAGCUUGCUCUGAUAGAUGGCGACCGGCGCACGGGUGCGUAACACGUAUCCAAUCUACCCAUGGCUCAGGGAUAGCCUUUCGAAAGAAAGAUUAAUACCUGAUGGUUUCAUGAGUCCGCAUGGACUUAUGAAUAAAGAUUUAUCGGCGAUGGAUGAGGAUGCGUCCGAUUAGCUUGUUGGCGGGGUAACGGCCCACCAAGGCGACGAUCGGUAGGGGCUCUGAGAGGAGGAUCCCCCACAUUGGAACUGAGACACGGUCCAAACUCCUACGGGAGGCAGCAGUGAGGAAUAUUGGUCAAUGGGCGAGAGCCUAAACCAGCCAAGUAGCGUGAGGGAUGACUGCCCUAUGGGUUGUAAACCUCUUUUGUUUGGGAAUAAAGUGAGCCACGUGUGGCUUUUUGUAUGUACCUUACGAAUAAGCAUCGGCUAAUUCCGUGCCAGCAGCCGCGGUAAUACGGAAGAUGCGAGCGUUAUCCGGAUUUAUUGGGUUUAAAGGGAGCGUAGGCGGGUCUUUAAGCCAGCGGUCAAGGAUUAGAUACCCUGGUAGUCCGC